GGUCCUAUAUAAUCCUUGUGCAAUAAGAAAACAUCUAUUAACUCUCAAGUACCAAUUUCUUUAUUCUCAAGCUAGCUAGAUAGAUUGAUAGCCAUAUGGGUUCUGUCAUAAAGGAUGGUUCUUAUUCUCUAAUUUUCUGCUUUGUUUUCACCAUUGUUCAUCCUUUUUCAAGUGAUGCACAAAUCUGAAAGCAUGUGGGUUUGAUUCAGUAUAUCAAUUUGGAGAUUCAAUUUCAGAUACAGGCAAUGCUACCACAGAAUUCCCAAUCCUUCCUUACGAUCAGUUUCCCCAUGGCGUAACAAUUAAAAUGGCAUAUCCCACGUUUUGUGACUAACCAUUCUCUAACCGUGCAACUUGGUUGGUUUGAGAAGCACUUAUCAACUAUUUGCAGUAAUCCUGAAGGUUAAUAUAAUUUCGUUGGAACAAUUGGAUUUAAUGACUAUAACCUUGGAUUACAUUUGAAUAAAACCAUUGAGGAGAUAAAAGAAUAUCAUGGUGCCGGGUGUGGUGCAGACCAUAAUCGAUGUUUCCAGAAUGGGUUGUUCGCCAGGCUUACUUACAAGCUAUGCGACCUCUUCUGUUCUUGAUGCACACGGCUGCCUGAAAGAUUUCAAUGACAUGUUGGCGUAUCACAAUGAUCUUCUCAAAACAGCUCUUGAAGGAUUGAGAAAAGAAUUUCCUGAUGUGCAUGUCAUAUAUGCUGAUACAUAAGGUGCAGUGCAAUGGGUCUUUGAUAAUUUCUCAAGUUUUGGAUACAAGGUAGCUUGUUGCAGAAUCUGCAGAAAGUACAAUUUUAAUGUUGAUCAAUUUCCGAAAGGCUGUGGAAUUCCUGGCAUACCUUAUUCUUCAAAACCUGGACAACAUAUCUUUUGGGAUGUAGGACAUUUAACUCAUCAAACAAGCAAGUACUCAGAUUGGCUAAUCAGAGACUUGUUCCCAAAGCUUCAAUGUGCAGCUUGACAGCAAUUUUUGUAGAAAUUUGUCAGGAAAACGAAAAAUGUAGUUCUUUCAAUUGUGUACUUGAGAGUUAAAGAUGUAUAUUAAUCAAAUUAACAUGCA